rnacentral:rRNA from 1 species
GGGAGCGGCAGACGGGUGAGUAACGCGUGGGAAUCUACCCUUUUCUACGGAAUAACGCAGGGAAACUUGUGCUAAUACCGUAUGUGUCCUUCGGGAGAAAGAUUUAUCGGGAAAGGAUGAGCCCGCGUUGGAUUAGCUAGUUGGUGGGGUAAAGGCCUACCAAGGCGACGAUCCAUAGCUGGUCUGAGAGGAUGAUCAGCCACAUUGGGACUGAGACACGGCCCAAACUCCUACGGGAGGCAGCAGUGGGGAAUAUUGGACAAUGGGCGCAAGCCUGAUCCAGCCAUGCCGCGUGAGUGAUGAAGGCCCUAGGGUUGUAAAGCUCUUUCACCGGAGAAGAUAAUGUCGGUAUCCGGAGAAGAAGCCCCGGCUAACUUCGUGCCAGCAGCCGCGGUAAUACGAAGGGGGCUAGCGUUGUUCGGAAUUACUGGGCGUAAAGCGCACGUAGGCGGAUAUUUAAGUCAGGGGCGAAAUCCCAGAGCUCAACUCUGGAACUGCCUUUGAUACUGGGUAUCUUGAGUAUGGAAGAGGUAAGUGGAAUUCCGAGUGUAGAGGUGAAAUUCGUAGAUAUUCGGAGGAACACCAGUGGCGAAGGCGGCUUACUAAAGUGGCAUUGACGCUGAGGCACGAAAGCGUGGGGAUCAAACAGGAUUAGAUACCCUGGUAGUCCACGCCCUAAACGAUGAACACUCGAUGUUGGCGAUAUACGGUCAGCGUCUAAGCGAAAGC